UACAGAGGGUGCGAGCGUUAAUCGGAAUUACUGGGCGUAAAGCGCGCGUAGGCGGCUUUGCAAGUCGAGUGUGAAAUCCCCAGGCUUAACCUGGGAACUGCAUUCGAGACUGCAUAGCUAGAGUAUGGGAGAGGGAAGUGGAAUUUCAGGUGUAGCGGUGAAAUGCGCAGAUAUCAGGAAGAACACCCGUGGCGAAAGCGGCUCUCUGGAACGGUACUGACGCUGAGACGCGAAAGCGUGGGGAGCAAACAGG
rnacentral:rRNA from 1 species